rnacentral:rRNA from 1 species
GUUGAAACCCAGCCCGUACGCAGUUGCAGCGACCUAACCCCUUUCCCUGACCCCCAAGCGCGGUGGCGGCGGCCAGAUCCCUCAACCAAGUUAGCCAAGUACGCGGGGCGGAGGUGAUGUUCCACCUUUCCGAUGGCUCUUGCCAGUUGUGUCGCCAGCGGCUCUGUUUGAGGCCGAGCAGAUCUGAUCUCGUGGAGUAUUAAGAUCCGCGUCGCAGUAUGCUCAUCGUUGCCUCCCGAUCUCAGGCUCCGGCAGCGGCUGGACAACAAGCUCGACGAACAAGAAGCACUGUAUCUGGAGGCAACUGUUGUGUGCCGUCAAGAUAGCACCGUUCAUGCAGUUCUUAAUGGCAAUGCUUGUUGAGCGAUGAUUAUUAUAGUCCUUCAGACUUACCCUUGCCCGUCAUGUACCAAAGUUGAUGCAGUUUUCGCUAGCAAUACUUGAUCCUGUGAUAUGAGUGUCUUUUGUGUUAUGCCUGGGAUGUUACAGUUUGACAUGUACUAAAAAAUGCGGCGCUGAUAGUCCAGUUUGACAUGCACUCAAGUAUUUGUUUCUGGAAUGGUUCAUUUUAACAUUUAUGC